AUGAGGUUCCCUGCUCAGCUCCUGGGGCUACUAAUGCUCUGGAUCCCAGGAUCCAGUGGAGAUAUUGUGAUGACCCAGACUCCCCUCUGCUUGGCCGUCACCCUGGGAGAGCCAGUUUCCAUCUCCUGCAGGUCUAGUCAGAGCCUCCUCCGUAGUGAUGACUACACCUAUUUGGAUUGGUACCUGCAGAAGCCAGGCCAGUCUCCACGGCUGCUGAUCUAUGAGGUUUCCAAGCUGGUCUCUGGAGUCUCAGACAGGUUCAGUGGCAGUGGGUCAGGGACAGAUUUCACCCUUCAAAUCAGCAGAGUGGAGGCUGAGGAUGUAGGAGUUUAUUACUGCAUGCAAGGUUCACAAAGACCUCCCACAGUGGUACAGGCCUGA